rnacentral:tRNA from 1 species
GGAGAGAUGUCCGAGUGGUUUAAGGAGCACGACUGGAACUCGUGUAUACGCUUCACGGCGUAUCGAGGGUUCGAAUCCCUCUCUCUCCG